UGGCUUCCUCAACAUGGCGGCGCCCUUAUGUGUGGAGGUGGAGUUCGGGUGAGUGAGAUCUGGGUCGCCUUGGGGAUGGAGCGAAGCCGGGAUAUCCGGAACCUCCUUGUCUGGAUCAAGACGAAUUUGCUAAAAGAGCGGCCAGAGCUAUUCAUCCAGGGAGACAGUGUGCGGCCUGGAAUCCUGGUCCUGAUUAAUGAUGCCGACUGGGAACUGCUGGGAGAGCUGGACUACCAGCUGCAGGACCAGGAUAGCAUCCUCUUCAUCUCCACCCUGCAUGGCGGCUGAGGCCUCCUCGAUUAGCCCAAGCACCUUUGCAAGGGGAACACAGGACAACCACAGACCCCUCGGAUGCUUCCAGGUCCUCCGUCCCCCUUGGCUGCCUCCUUCCCUGCUGUACCCCUGAGCUUCCUGUAUGCAGGGAAAAGAGGCCAGGUGCUAAAAAUGAGCCUUUCUGGGCAAGGCGGCACGUGAGCAGGGAGAGAGAGCAGGGAGGGAGAGCAGCCGCCUGAGCCCAGCACUCCUUCCAGCAGCUGAGGUGGGGGAGGGUGCUCCUGUGCUGUGUCAGGAGUGGAGGGGCUCUGUGCCCAGGUGACCCAGCUGCUUGCUGCUACGUCUUGGUGUAUGUAUGCUCUUAGUGGUGGCCUGGAAGGCACUCCAGUUCCCGAGACAUCUUCAUGGGGAAGAUGGAUGGACUGUAGUAACUGAUGAGAGGCUCCUCCCUUGCCAAAGAUUAGAGGGGCCUCCGCCUCAGUUUCCCCAUCUGGACACAGAGAGCUCUGCUUGUCCCCCACUGAUGUCAUUAUGGAACCCCAGCUGGGGUCCCCUAUUCAGUGCUCACCUCCCUCCCCUCCACUCAGCAGCUGCUCUCCUAGCUAUACCCCUCCUCCCGUUCCCCCAUCCCCAGCCCUUGACCCUGGCUGGCCUCCCCCCCCCCCCCCCCCCCACAUAGGCCACCAGAUGGGCUCCUGAGACACUCUCCAGGCUGCCUACAACUCAUUCUGUUGGGGGUAGAAAAUGGAAGGAAGUAGCCUAACUUUAGGCAGAGGGGGGCGGGCCUCAGCAUGUGUAACUCCAGGCUUCCUGAAACAAGCAGGAUUUGGGUGUCCCCCCUUUCCUCCAUCCCUUCUGGAACUCUGGAGACUUCAUGCCUGCAACAGCUGGCCUUGGGCAAAUAAAGAGACUAGGUUGUUU
rnacentral:lncRNA from 1 species